rnacentral:rRNA from 1 species
UACAGAGGGUGCAAGCGUUAAUCGGAAUUACUGGGCGUAAAGCGCGCGUAGGUGGUUCGUUAAGUUGGAUGUGAAAUCCCCGGGCUCAACCUGGGAACUGCAUCCAAAACUGGCGAGCUAGAGUAGGGCAGAGGGUGGUGGAAUUUCCUGUGUAGCGGUGAAAUGCGUAGAUAUAGGAAGGAACACCAGUGGCGAAGGCGACCACCUGGGCUCAUACUGACCCUGAGGUGCGAAAGCGUGGGGAGCAAACAGG